UCUGCAUCUCCUAAACAAGGAACUGAAAACAUCAGUAAAACUAAACCCCCUCCAUCUUUUUUUGUCUUCUCCACAAAACCCAAGCUCUCCAACAAACCCUAAGACAACAUUAACAGUUUGUUACGCAUUAAAAAAAACCCUUCACGUCGAUCUGAUUCGAUUCAAGUUGUUCUUUGUGAUUCCAGUAAUGUGGGAGGUCUUUCCGAGAUUCACAGCUUGGGAUGGAAAGAUAAAACACAAGGCAAUGCUUCCAUCCUAUAUGUCAUCUGAUGUCAAUUCAGGAGAAUUCUAAAACCUUGGCCUCAUUCUUGUUCAGGAAAAGUGAUUGAAUGUGAAGUCGUUGCUCCUGUGAAGACGUUGCUCAAUCUAGAAAUGUGAAGUCGUUGCUCCUGUGCUUGAAUGUGAGAUUGUAAUUGUAUUGAAGCCAAAGCAAGAUGCUGGAAUUGCAUUGGAACCAAAUCAAGAAGUGGUUGCUUAAUCUGCAGGGAAGUGAGUUUCUUAAAAUCUUAAUAUGAAUGAGGCUCUUAAGAAGGCAUUGAAGUGUUUUGCAAUAAGGUUAUUGCUGGGAGCACAUGCAUAGAGCUACUGUUUACAAGUGCAACAAUAUUGAACGAAAAUCGGAUACACCAAAUAUUGAAUGAAUUUCAGAUUAUCAAAAUCUGAAUCAGAAGCACUUCUCAUAUGACAGACAUCAUCUGUUAUUGUAUGUUACACAAAAUAAUCGUGGUACUUAAUAACAAAUUUUAUAUGCGGCUUUAUGUCACAAUUUUUUUUCG